GCAGUGCAGAGACGCUUGAGGAUGCCAGACGGGCUGUUAAUGAAGCAGCGGAUGAGUUGGCUCUGAUGGGAGCUCUGAGGCACCUCCAAUCUUUGGAUGACAGUAUGCAGCUGAUGGAGGCUGUGCUCCAUUUUUACAGUGAGGGGCGAAUACAAGCAACCACCCAACAAGAAGAACUGAGUACACUUGGGGUCCUGGAGGAAAUCACCUUACGCCCUCAAGCUUUUGAGACAAUCUUCCUCCAAUACACAUGAUCCCUAAAGGCCAGUGAUCUUGUGGGGCUUUUUCAAGCCAGAUGUAGAUCAUUGCCAGGAUCUAAUCGGAGGAAGUUGGAAGCCAGGACCAUUGUCUUUUGGAAGGAUUGGCUCCUGGAUAUAGAAGGGGACUUGCCCAUCCAAUCACUCUGGAACACGUCCUCAUUUUUGCGACAGGCCUCAGACGAAUCCCAGCAAUGGGUUUUGAGGUGCAGCCAGAGUUAGCAUUUUUGCUAACUCUGGACUGGUCAGGUUCCCAUAGGCAAACACAUGAUCUCUGGUGCUCUACCUACCAAGAUGUUUUCAGCAAGGAGCUUUCCUUCAAGCUACCCCCUCAUCAACUGCGCCAUCAACCUACUUGAGGGGGCGCCUCUGCCUAAGGGCCACCUGUACCCCCUGUCUAUCACGGAGGAGGAAGCCAUGGAGACAUACAUAUGUGAGGGCCUCAAACAAGGUAUUAUCCAUCCGUCCACGUCUCCAAUUACCGCUGGGUUCUUCUUCAUCAAGAAGAAGGAUGGGGGUCUCCAUCCUUUUAUGGAUUAUCAUUCACUCAACGCCAUCACCGUGAAGUGGAGAGAACCCCUGCCUUUAAUCCCUACAGCGUUGGAACAACUGCGGAGAACAACUGUGUUUACCAAGCUGGAUCUCGGUAGCGCCUACAAUCUGGCCUCUGAAGGGGGGACAAAUGGAAAACCUCUUUCAUCACAAACACAGGCCAGUACGAGUAUCGGGUGAUGCCUUAUGGAUUAGCCAAAAGCCCCUCCAUCUUUCAGGCUUUCAUGAAUUCUGUCUUCCAGGACAUGGUAAACUGAUUCGUGGUCGUCUGCAUUGACGACAUUUUAAUUUACUCACUUACCUUCUCCCAGCAUGUCUCCCAUGUGCGCCAGGUGCUCCAAUGGUUGCGGGAGUACAACCUCUUCGCAAAAGGUGAAAAAGUACGAAUUCCACCGGACCCAGGUACAGUUCCUAGGCUACGUCAUCCACCCAGGGGAGGUAGCCAUGGAUGAGAGAAAGGUGACAGCCAUCCAGCAGUGGCCACAGCCCCGCACCACUAAAGAACUACAA